rnacentral:tRNA from 1 species
GCGGGCGUAGUUCAAUGGUAGAGCACCAGCUUCCCAAGCUGGUUGUUGCGGGUUCGAGUCCCGUCGCCCGCUCCA